GAGGGUAUAGCUCAGUGGUAGAGCGUUUGCUUUGCAUGCAUGAGGUCCUGGGUUCAAUCCUGGUACCUCCA
rnacentral:tRNA from 1 species